rnacentral:rRNA from 1 species
GUACGGGGAGGCAAGCGUUGUUCGGAUUUACUGGGCGUAAAGGGCGCGUAGGCGGCGCAACAAGUCACUUGUGAAAUCUCCGGGCUUAACCCGGAGCGGUCAAGUGAUACUGUCGUGCUAGAGUGCGGAAGGGGCUACUGGAAUUCCUGGUGUAGCGGUGAAAUGCGCAGAUAUCAGGAGGAACGACCGAUGGCGAAGGCAGUGUUCU